CCUGACAGGCCAGCUCCUGUAAAUAUAUAUUUGGAGAGCCUAUCCCCACAGCUACACACACUAUCCAGGGUUUAAGGGCUCCAUCCACAACACAUUACUACUGUACACGUAGAUUUUUUGUUUUCAGGGCUGGUGUGAGGGGAGCAGCACAGAUCCCACAUCAUUUAUUUCAUCUACGAUGAUGACAUUCCUCCAGCUGCUAGUAGAAAGAAAUAUGUCUCUGUCUAAAGUCAAAACGUAUGCUGCUGCCAUCUCAUCCCGCCAUGAGAGCUAAAAGAGUAGGUGAUUUAUGUGCACUCGCUGGCUCCCCAUCUUGCCUUGUUAUCAAAGAUGAUGGGGGCACAGCAACUUUCAGACAAAAUCCUGCCUUCAUGCCUAAAAUUAUAACGUCAUCCUUCAGAUCUAGAGUGAUUUCCUUGGAGGGAUUUUUUUUCCUCCUCCUCACAGUAACAAGAUGGAGGAAGCGUGUCAUCGCCUCUGCCUGGUGCGCGUCUCAUUAUGUGGUGCGCACAGAAGCCCUCAGACAGGCCCAGCAGCUGUUUGUGCAUUACAGAGAAAACUUCUCAGGGGAAGCCUCUGACUAAACAUCAGCUGUCUCCCUGGUUUUGCGAAACCAUCAUUCAGGCUUAUGUUGCAGCAGAGAAGGACCUCUCGCAUGACGUUGGCACUCACUCCACGAGAGGUGUUUCCUCCUCCGCUGCUCUUUUUAAUGGAAUUGCAGUAGAGGAUAUCUAUGCAGCUGCAUUGUGUCCCUGAAUCGUUUCAUCCGCUUUAACUUAUGGGACAGAGUGUCCCAUAACUCACUCUGUUGAAUGUGCUGUUGUCUCUCAGCCUUUUAUGGACAAACAUCCAUCACUGUACAGAGCUCCAUGUGGCGCAUUUGCUGCUACGUUAUAUCUCUACUAGCCUAUUUGUACAUGCCUCGGUACUUUUAAUGUGUAAGUGUCUCUCUGCCAUUCCAGCAUAAGCUUGUGUGAGAAUCGGCCAGCUGUAGCAUUGCAACAUAGCAAUGUAGCAUUAACACCGCCAAGGUUAUGGGUUUGAUGUCCAAAUAUUAUUUUGCACACUCCACAUGCAACAUCAGCCCAAUGAGGAUCUUUCUGCAUUUCUGUUUUGCUCUUUUCCCUUUUCACACGAACAGGCAUGAAAUGUGAUUGAAAGAUGUUAUCGCCCUGACUAAUCAGACAGAGCUUAGUAAAACGGAGAGGAAUAUCCUCAUUAUUCUUAUCGGUUGAGUACCACUUGUGGUGAUUGCCUAUACACGCCUAUACAAAUAGAAUCUGGGGUUACGUACUGUAACAAAUGUUCUCCCAUCAUUAACUGAAAUAAGCUGACACUAACCCACCAGUGUAUAUAAUUGAAAGUAGUUUGCUUUUAAAGUGGCUGCCACUUUGAUAAACUUAAAGGGGACAUAUUAUGCUAAGACUACCUUUUCAGCCCUUUUGCACACAUUUUUGGGUAUGUGGGGUGCCUGCCGGCCCACAAAAAGUGAAAAAGAAACACAAAGUCGUAUUUAAGUGGACUGGCUUAACCUUUCAGACGGGCUCUGAACGAGCCAGUCACAACUCGGGCAUCCUGUUACGAAACAUGAAGCUUCUCCUGGGGUAGCCACGCCCCCAACCUGAGAAUCUCCGCCCCUGAACUCCGAGACACCGGAGCACAGAGACGCCAUUGUUUUCUCUCAGCAAGCGACGGACGGAGCGGUAGAAUAAUGCCGAAAAGAGUUAGUAACGUUUGCCUGUUGUUGGCUGUACAGACCAAUAUAAACCUGUACAUGGACUCCCAGCCUCAGAGGACACACAAGCAGGUGGAUUGACUUCAUUUUUGAUGGAAAUGUUCCACAGUCGGUGAAAAGCUGCGAGUGUGUGAACAACUUUGUGUCGGAUUGUUCUUCAAGUCUGGGCCAGUGCAACACUGGACUGGAAGAAAAAAAUUUUUUGCAAGAUGGAGCAAUUCCAACCGUCCGAGGCGAAGCUACAGAGGAGAGACAUAGUACAUCACACUAAUCGGCAACACUCAUGUUCCACCGUUUAAAGAACCAUGUAUAUUGGAGUGCAUUCUCUUCAACCUCAGGGCCUGAGAAGGUGGCCAAGUGGACCUUACUGUUUAACAACAUUCAAAACAUCCCUGGGCAUGAAGACCCCCUCUUCCCCAAAGACAAAGAAGGGUGAAGCCACCACAAAGCCUGUUAAAACAGAACCCACAUUCAAUUAUGUGGGUGACUUGAUGAGGAUGGUGUUUGGGGACCCCUGUGGAGUAGAUGAAAAAAUCGCCACCCCCAAGGAUCUGUCAUCCCAAUAUGACAGGCCGUCGAAGGAGGAAAUGGUUGCUCGCCACGUCAGGCUUCAGUCAAGGGGCGGUCGGAAGCCAACAUACUGGUCAGCUGGAUCCGGAAACUCCUGGCGGAUCUGGAGGAUGACGCGAUGACGACCCUUUUGUGGCGUCCCACAGCACCAACUGCGAGAAAAACAAUGAGCAAUAUUGCGGUUGCAAAUUUCCUCUACUGAACAAAAAAAAAUCAAAAAUCUGCUAAACACAGAUUUUUUUGUAACCACAUUAAAGUGGUCACAUUUAACAACUUGAAACCAGUGUGCUGACAGCGAGACCCCUCACUUAACUCCCACAGCUCAUGCAAAUACACAUUACACUGUAUUCUCACACACACACACACACACACACAAACACACACCCAGACAAACACACUGCUUUAUGCAUUAAAAGCUUUGCUCAUUUUCCCAUCACAAUAUCCGCCCCUAAACCCCUGUCCUCCCCCACAUGGCUCUUCUCAGAUAUUUAAGUGGCACAGGAGCAAGGGGCAGAGGGAUGUAAGUGGUCAUGAUCGAGACAGCACCUUCUUAAGAAAGAAAAAAAAGAGAGUAGGUCUCAUGUUUAAUUCAUGCAAUGUCUCCAUCAAACUUGCAGCAGAUCAUUUCACUCCACCACUGUGUCUUUCUUUACUCCGCCGUUGAUAGCUCUGCUAUUAUACACCAUACACACAUCCCCCACACAAGAACACACACACACACACACAAAAACUCAAGCCUUUUAUUCCUGAUUGAUUAGAUGUCCCCCUACUGCUUUUCGGCCUUGUUGUUUGUUGUGGUUUCUCAUUGCUGCAUUAUGUUGUGUAUGUUCUUCUCACACAAAUACUGCACCAGCAAUAUUAGUAUGUUGAAUUCUGAUCACAGAUGCAGAAAAAAGAUCGCAGGGCUUCUAUUUUUAAAAUGAGUGGAACUCGCAUUAAAUAGCAGUGUAAUGUGACAAUGUAUAUAUCUGCUCUAUAAAUGAGAGAAACCAAAAGGGAGACCUUUACUGUAUAGCAGGGGCGGGGAAACUAAAAACUAAAGCUUCUUGGAUGAGAGAUGAAAGGUCUUCAAGGAUCUACAACAAUCUUCCAGAUGCUCAACUUUUGUUGGAUAACCAUGACCUGUAUCACUGACAAUCUUAAACCAUGGUUGAUCAUAGAGAUGGUAUUAGCCAGAUGAUGAGCAGUGUCAAGCACUGUUCACCUUACAGUGUAGGAGGUCUUCCAAAAAUAUUUAAAAAAAUAACAGUUUUUGUCUCAUCAGACCAGAGAACAAUUUUCCUCAUUCUCUGAGAAUCCUAUGCUGUUUGGCACACUCCAAGUAGACUGCCUUUUGCUCAAAGUGGCUUCGAUCUAGUCACUCUAUGAACAUCAUUCCGACAGGUUCUUCCACCCCCCUUACAUUGGCUGAAAAGCCGACUCAAAGUCUUGGUGGUUCCAAACAUCUUUCAUUUCCCCAUUAUUGAAGUCACUGUGUUCCUGAGAACACUCAUAUCUAUCCAAAAUGAUCUAAAGUGUUCCUUGAACUUAGCUGCUUGGGUUUUGUCCUGACAUGCAGUGUGAAUUUUGAAACCUUACUGUAUAGAACAGUGGUUCUCAAACUGUGGUACGCGUACCCCUGGUGGUACGUGGGCUCUCUCUAGGGGUACGCGGAGGUAUCUCCGAAAUCUCCAGCUCAUAACAAAAUUACCGUGUACAUCCGGGUUUUUUACACACGCGGGCCGCGUUUUAUCGGCAUUUGGCCACUUCACACAGCAGCAGACCGGGGUCUGACGAUCGGCACCAGACGCGGUGCACGGCGGAAAUAGGUGGAAGUAAAGAGGUGUGCUGCGCGCCAUAAAACCAAAGCUGUGAAGUUUGUGUGAGAGAAUAGGAAGGUUGCCUCUGCGCUGUGUGUACAGAGCUGCAGCCGCUGUGAGAAGGGAGAGACGCAUGAUGAGUCCGUGUAUGUGGCCGCAGUGUUGAAAUAAAGUGCAGCGUUCAUUUUGCCUUAUCGUUGAUCUGGAUUCAACGAGCGCAAAUUACCGCGUUCAACCGGGUGUGGCAGCGUCAACUCCGAACGGAGCCGAUCGGAGUUGACGCCGCUUAAACCCGGGUCUAUUGCAGAGUCAUUUGCCCCGGGGCUGAAUGCCGAUUAAACUUUUUCACACUGUGGAAUACGCCGGGUGUUAGCGGGUUUAAACAGGUUUUUGGGGCCAGUGUGAAAGGGGAUUUAAAUACAAUUAAUUUUACGUAAAAUACUAUCAAAAUACUACGGUCCGCCUGCUACGUAGUAGUGCGCGCCAAACCGUUACACGGUGAAGAAAAGGUGGGAAGCUGAUGAAGUUAAAAACAAUUCAAAAGCAAUGCAGUCGUGGCUCCAAACGGGAUCUCUUCGAAAAAUAAGUCUAGAUCAGGAGGUUAACAAUGUCACGACAGAAAUGGCAGUGGAUCACAGUGACCACAGCGGCAUCCCUGAAGUAGCGACGAAACGGCGAAAAGUGAGAAAAUAUGACACCGGUUACAUCAAACUUGGAUUUAGCUGGACUGGAACGGAGGAAGAGCCCAGGACUGUGUGUGGUAUGUGGUGAUGUUUUGGGUAAUGAGAGCAUGAAACCAUCACAUCUCAAACGGCAUCUCACCACCAAACAAGCAGUGCUGACAGAAAAACCGGUUGAUUUUUUUUAAGAAAGCGGGACGAACUGAAGCAGUCCAAGUCCACUAUUCAAUCCUGUGUUACACCCGUAACCAAGGCACAGGAAGCCUCAUUUUGUGCCAGUCUCCGCAUAGCGAAGGCGGUAAGCCACACACAAUUGGCGAACAACUGUGUCUCCUGUUAGCCAAAGAAAUGACACGUAUCAUGUGCGGGGAGAAGGCUGCCAAACAGUUAAACUUGGUGCCACUUGUAAACGACACAGUGUAGGAGCCAUGGUAGAUGACGUUAAAAACACUCUGAUUGAGCACAUUAAAGGCAGUCGCUAUUUUUCCAUCCAGCUCGACUAGACUACUGAUGUCGCAGAUUUGGCCAAUUUGCUUGUGUAUGUGAGAUAUGAACAUAAUAGUGCAUUUCAGGACUAUCAAUCACUGGAAAUCAGAACAACAGCCGAGCACAUAUUCCUACCCCUGAACGCGUUUGUCAAAGAGAAUGGGCUCGAUUGGAAGAAGUGUAUCGGGGUCUGCACAGACGGCGCGAGGCCUAUGACAGGUCGCCACAGUGGAGUAGCAGCUCGAAUCCGCCAGGUGGCACCUGACGUGCAAUGGACUCACUCAAACAGUGAACUUCAUUAAGGCCCGUGAUGAGAUAGGCAGCGAGCAUGUAUGAUCUUGCUUCAUACAGAGGUAAGGUGGUUGUCAAGAGGAAAGGUGCUUUCAAGGCUGUUUGAAUUGCACAGAGAUCCAAAUAUUCCUACAGGACAAAGACUUUCCCUUAUCAGAUGUGUUUGAAGAUACUGUGUGGCUUUCAACUGACAUACAUGUCUGACAUCUUCUCUUGUUUGAACGAACUCAAUCUGGGUCUACAGGGACUCUCCAUCAAUGCUUUUGAUGUGCAGGACAAAAUCAACGCACUGCUGAAAAAGAUGGAGCUGUUUGAAAUGAAAGUCAAGGCAGGUGAUUUUUCAGCGUUCCCCACUUUGGGAGUUUGAGUUUGAGUUUUCUGUCUGACAAUGACCUGACCCUUGAUGAUGGAGUGAGGGACAACAUUGAUCUGCCCCUCGUCUCACUCAGACAGCAAUUCUGUGAAUAUUUCCCAGUGAGGGCCGACAUGAAUGACUGUAUGAGAAACCCAUUUGACAUGAAAAUAUCUGAAAUGCCCAAGAACUUCACUGUUGGUGAGCAGGAAAGUUUAAUUGAGCUGUCUUGCGACCAGACACUGAAGUCUGCCUUCAGAAAACAGUAUUUGUUGGACUUUUAGGUACAGCAACACAGGGAAUACCCUGCACUGUCAGACAAGGCCGUGCGCUCUCUCCUUCCUUUUGUGACCACGUAUCUGUGAGAAAGGCUUCUCUUCACUUGCCCUCAUAAAAACAAAAUACAGAAGCAGGAUGGAUGCUGAGCCGGACCUGAGACUGAAGCUGACCUCAAUUGAGCCAGAUAUCGCAGGACUGUGUACACAGAGGCAGGCACACCCUUCUCAUUAGUGUGUGUGUGUGUGUGUGUGAGAGAGAGCGAGAGAGAAAAUAAGUUUCAUCGUGCUGUUUCUUGCUGUGAUCACUGCACACAGGUAUAUUGCAUUAAUGUUCUCACUUGCUGCCGCCCUUUGUAUGUGUGUGUAUGUGUUUGAAUGAAAUGUGAUUUUACAUUGACAUACAGUUCUUAUUUGUUAAUUGUUAUUGUUCUUUUGUGGAGGAGUAAUGUGAGAUUUUGGGCCCAGAAAAGUAAGAUAUAUUUUUCUGUGCUCAAAAUCUCCCAUUGCUACACAAAUGGGGCACAAAUAUCACACCAUGGUUUAAGUGCCAGUUCUAGUGCUACUCUUUUGCACAGUGUGAUUUUGGCUGACAAGUGAACAAAAAAAAAUAUUCCUAUUGUGAAGAACUUUGACUCCUGUUUGAACUACGUUCAGCCGAAUAGGGUGACCUUAUUCUACUAACUUCUGUAUUUUUUACAUGGGUCAUGAUGGUGGUACUUUGAGAGCCAGAUAUUUUCUGAGGUGGUACAGUGUGUAAAAAGAUUGAGAAACACUGGUAUAGAAUGUAUAUCUUAACUAUUUCUUAUCACUUCUUUUGCCACAGUUGGACUGCAUCAGUUUUACACUCACUCAGCAGUCAUGGACUGUGGUGGAAAAGUCAAAAGAAAUUCUCCUUUCCUAACCACUAUUCAUUAACCCCCAUUCAUUAAUGACAUUCAUUAAUGACAAACUCCGUAAGAAAAUAUAUCAAUAUGCUACAUGAAAACUAUCAAUAAUUGGUAUGAUGUUACAACAAAGCAGAUUUUCAAAAGAAAUAUAUAUAUACAGUAUAUAUAUAUAUAUAUAUAUAUGCAUGGGGACAUUUUACGUUUUCUAUUAAGCACAUUCUAUUUAUUACAUUCCACAAUUAUUAAGAUGAAGAAUUAAGAAGAUUUGUAUAUGUUUUAUGUUAUGAUGAUCAUAUUGUGAACGAUUAGGUCAAUAUGCUUGUUCUUAAACAUGAAUCCUGACUGGACAUAUGUAUAGAAUAAAUCUAUAUUCAUGGAUUUGGAGCACACUUUUGUGGCCUAUUAGUUAUCCCCAACUAUGACUGACAGUAUAUAGGACAGGUUUUUCAAGAUAUUGUUUUAUAGUAGAGGACAGAAAAAAGACCUAUUGGGAUGUUAUAGAAUGUUGAAUAAUUUAGUUUAAGGUGCACUGUUUUUGUUCAAGUUCUUCAACCAGGUCUUGGUUAUUUUUUUCAUGUCUAAUUUUGGUCCCAUUACUUUUGAAUGUAUUAAUCCCAUAAGUAUCAUUCUUAAACCCUUGUUUCCAUUUCAAUACUGACAAAUUAUUUCACAUAAUGUUUGCAUUAUAUGGUUUAUAAUAUCAGUGACAAUGCAAUUAGUUGUAUGUUCAGUACCUAAAAAGAAGGGAUAGUUCCAAGAGACAUGAAGAGCCAGAGUUCAUAAGAUGAAGAUGAUUUAAAUGAUGGUUUGUCAAAGUACAUCUUCAUGCAGUCCCUGGUGAAAAUGUGGCUCACUUUGGAAUAAUCAGACAGACACAGCGAAGGGAGUUGUUUCCACUCUGAUGGAGGGACUGAAGGCUUUAGUGAUGUUGAUGUAAAUCAUUGUUGACACUUGCCUGAGGGAAAAGCUGGACUGACAGGACUGAACCUGGCCAAGUGUGACACCUGGCCAAGCCGAGAGCAACCUCACUCUGAGGCUGAGGUCACAACUGGGCAGCAAUGCAUUGAAAACACACACACACACACACACACACACAC